rnacentral:sRNA from 1 species
AAUCAUCCGUAGGGUAACCUGCGGAGGGAUCAUACCGAGACAACUCCCAAACCCCUGUGAACAUACCAAUUGGCCUCGGCGGAUCAGCCCGCUCCCGGUAAAAAGGGCCCAAUACGGGAAAGGGCCCACGGCCCGCCAGAGGACCCCUAAACUCUGCUAUAUGUAACUCUGAGUAAAACCAUAAAUAAAUCAAAACCAACAACGGAUCUCGGUUCUGGCAUCGAUGAAGAACGCAGCAAAAUGCGAUAAGUAAUGUGGCCGAAUGCAGAAUCAGUGAAUCAUCGAAUCUGAACGCACAUUGCGCCCGCCAGUAUUCUGGCGGGCAUGCCUGUUCGAGCGUCACAACCCUCAAGCCCCCGGGUUUGGUGUUGGGGAUCGGCGAGCCCUUGCGGCAAGCCGGCCCCGAAAUCUAGUGGCGGUCUCGCUGCAGCUUCCAUUGCGUAGUAGUAAAACCCUCGCAAAGGGCCCUACUGGACGCGGCGCGGCCAAGCCGUUAAACCCCCAACUCUGAAUGUUGACCUCGGAUCAGGUAGGAAUACCCGCUGAACUAAGCAUAUCAAAAGCGGGAGGAAUGGAAGGGGAAAACCCUGCGG